rnacentral:lncRNA from 1 species
CUUUUCUGAAGGGAACAGCAGCCAUCUCUGGCAACAGCAAGGACACAAGCUCCAAUGAAGAUGAGCACAGCUAAAUUCAUAUCAGGAAAACUGGCCACAGCAAAGCUUCUCCUGGGAAAUCAGCAGCAUGCAAUCUUCCCCUCCUGUUCUCCUUUUAGGCCAUUUCAAGAACAGUCCUCAGGACACAAUGGCAAAUAGAAACAGUCACUCGCCCAGUGUCACAAGAAUCCAGCAGCAUUCUUCCCUGACCUCCGGAAAGAUAAUGUGUCAUUUGCUGUACAAAAAUAAAAGUUUUUCAAAGCAGUUG